AAGACGUUAAUAAAACAAUUAUGCUGCCUUGUCAAGGCAAAAUUGCGGGUUAAAACCCCGCACGUCUUA
rnacentral:tRNA from 1 species